rnacentral:misc_RNA from 1 species
GAUGAAGAACGGAGCGAAAUGCGAUAAGUAAUGUGAAUUGCAGAAUUCAGUGAAUCAUCGAAUCUUUGAACGCACAUUGCGCCCGCCAGUAUUCUGGCGGGCAUGCCUGUCUGAGCGUCAUUUCAACCCUCAUGCCCCUAGGGCGUGGUGUUGGGGAUCGGCCAAAGCCCGCGAGGGACGGCCGGCCCCUAAAUCUAGUGGCGGACCCGUCGUGGCCUCCUCUGCGAAGUAGUGAUAUUCCGCAUCGGAGAGCGAUGAGCCCCUGCCGUUAAACCCCCAACUUUCCAAGGUUGACCUCAGAUCAGGCAGGAAUACCCGCUGAACUUAAGCAUAUCAAUAAGCGGAGGA